AUUGAACGCUGGCGGCAGGCUUAACACAUGCAAGUCGAACGAGCGGCGGACGGGUGAGUAAUGUCUGGGAAACUGCCCGAUGGAGGGGGAUAACUACUGGAAACGGUAGCUAAUACCGCAUACCAUCGGAUGUGCCCAGAUGGGAUUAGCUAGUAGGUGGGGUAACGGCUCACCUAGGCGACGAUCCCUAGCUGGUCUGAGAGGAUGACCAGCCACACUGGAACUGAGACACGGUCCAGACUCCUACGGGAGGCAGCAGUGGGGAAUAUUGCACAAUGGGCGCAAGCCUGAUGCAGCCAUGCCGCGUGUAUGAAGAAGGCCUUCGGGUUGUAAAGUACUUUCAGUCGGGAGGCGUUACCGACAGAAGAAGCACCGGCUAACUCCGUGCCAGCAGCCGCGGUAAUAC
rnacentral:rRNA from 1 species